ensembl:lncRNA
ACUGGGUUCUCAACUAAUACCAGUUGAUCCAGAUGCUGUGUUCUUCCAUGCUUUUCUAGACCACCAGGGAAGCCAUUCUUCAAGGCAGGCUUACUAGAAUGCUACCACCUGUGCCUUAUAUCUUGGGGUCCUGUAUUCAUCUGAUAUAAGUCUUACAUUCUUACCCCUGAUUUGAUGCUACGUGGAAAAUUUGGUGAAAUGGCAGAGCAAGGAUUUCCUUGGUUUUAAGAGAGUGUGUUGCCUGCGUGGCAUUUUGGAGGUUGUGUGCUGAAACUGAGGUUGUGAAAAAUCGUGCAUGGGUGUGCAUAUGUAUAUAUGUAUGGAAAAAAACCACCUUAUUCUUGCUGACUUCUCUAUCCUUCUGUACACAGGAACACACCCACCAAAAAGUUUGACAAAAACCCGGUAAAGAUAAAGACACUUAAAUCUCUAAAUCUGGAAUUGCUUGAACUGUCAAAGGGCAGUCAAAUUGUGCUUGAAAAUAGCAUCCCUUUACUUUGCAUCCUUGGGUUUUUUAUGUUCUUUCUUUGCGUGUGUAUGCUUGUGUUCUCAUGAUGGAGGUGAAAGCAGUGGUUGCAUUUUGUUUGCUUUUGAAGUCUUAGGACUGCUGAAGAUCAGUUAAGAGCACGAGAGGGAAUCUCACUGCGAAAACAUUCAGUAACAUUAUGCUUUUUUAUUCCAAGUUAUUUGGAAGCUGUUCUAUGUCCAGCGGAUAAUUUUUUCUUGAUGCUCCCAGCUAGAAGAUACUGCUAAAAUAGAGUUGAUAGUCAGCUACUUUGACCUUUUUCUUUCUUUUCUAUUUACUGUGUUCCUUUGCACCUUUGUUGCGAGGGAAAACACCCAAAAUCUGAAGGUUUAGGCGCUUUAGGGCCUACCAGUCUCAGAGUAAUGUGGACAGGUCUUGAUGACUUGGAGAUUUUUUGAUUAGGUAAGAUAACAGGAGUUUUCCUAUUUCUCUGAAAUGGAGGUAUAUAACUUGAAAGAGAUCAUUUACUUUUGAAGGCUUUCUUGUAUGGAACCCCAGUACGGUUCCCACAGCAUCAGCAAAGGCCUCAGCUCUCCUUUGGUUUCACUCUUGGAUGGAUUUCACGCUUAUUUUCUGUGUUAGAGCAGAAGUGGUAGUACCAAAUUAUAGAUUGAUCUGUAAAACUUGAUUCGAUUGCAAGGAAAUGCACCCAGGUAUAUAAUAGAAAGGCUUUCUAGCCAUUGUCUGAUUUGCUUUUAUAUCUGAACAUUUCCAACAUGAAUAGAAUUUUGAAUCAAAAGAUAUCAGUUAGAAAUAAUCCUCUUAAUUAACAAUAUAAUGGACAAAUUGCUUAUUUUCUUCUAAUCUUGUAUUUAAAUGUAUUUAAGUGAAUGGACUUCAUUCUUGCUGUUCAAAAAAAAAAAAAGGUUGGAGGUUUGAGGACUUCAGGUUGUACUUUUGCUUUGCCUAGGUUUCCUGUUCUGUUGCAUGACACAACGUCUGUUGUGCUGUUGAUAUGUAGCACUUUUCAGUAGGUCUGUUAUUGUGCAAUGCAUUUUUUAUAUUUACAACAAAAACAAUAAAGGUUAUUUUUUGGAAGAAAUUAGUUGUAAUGUCUUUAUUUUUUUUUACCUGAACUCAGCUUGGAAGUGGGGAAAUGGCAAGGAGAAGUCUUCCUGGACCAGGACUAGCACCUUACCAUCCCUUUUGCAGCUCUGAAAGGAUUGGAUUUGGGACUCUUGAUUGACUUAAUGCCUGGACAGUGGACUCUGCUGAGCAUUGCUGAGGUUGGACAACACGGUAUUCCCAUGGAACUGAUGUCAGUGUUAGACAUUAAGCUGCUUAAAUCCAUUUAAAAACAAACAAAAAAAGAGAAAUAAUAUUUCACCUUUUCCUUUAAAGACUGUAUUUUGUUUCUUGAUUUUUUGUUUGUUUGUUUGUUUGUUUUCUUCCCCUGGUAGGAUGCUACACAUUACUGCUUCAGUUGAUUGAGAACAGGGAUUUUAUUUUAAAACCAGUGCUGAAGGCUUGAUGCUGGUUAAUGUCCCUCUCGGGACUGGUGACUUUGACCUUAAUAUAGUUUGAGAAAUUCUGAUGAGUCAAGCCUG